AGUCAAUGAUGAUUCAAAGUAUAAGAGUAGUGGACAGAAGCGAUUUCUGAUUAAUUUUACUCUGAGACU